AUAGAACGCUGGCGGCAGGCCUAACACAUGCAAGUCGAGCGCGAAAGUCUUCGGAUGAGUAGAGCGGCGGACGGGUGAGUAACGCGUAGGAAUCUACCUGGUAGUGGGGGAUAACUCGGGAAAACUCGAGCUAAUACCGCAUACGUCCUGAGGGGGAAAGCGGGGGAUCGCAAGACCUCGUGCUAUCAGAUGAGCCUGCGUAGGAUUAGCUAGUUGGUAGGGUAAAGGCCUACCAAGACGACGAUCCUUAGCUGGUCUGAGAGGAUGAUCAGCCACACUGGGACUGAGACACGGCCCAGACUCCUACGGGAGUCAGCAGUGGGGAAUAUUGGACAAUGGGGGCAACCCUGAUCCAGCCAUGCCGCGUGUGUGAAGAAGGCCUUCGGGUUGUAAAGCACUUUCAGCGGGGAGGAAGGCGUCAUGACUAAUAUUCAUGGCGAUUGACGUUACCCGCAGAAGAAGCACCGGCUAACUCCGUGCCAGCCGCCGCAGUAA
rnacentral:rRNA from 1 species